AGCUAGAAAAAGAGCUAUGUUGGCCAGGAGCUAGAAACAGAACUAGGUUGGCUAGUUGUCCAGGAGCUAGAAACAAAACUAGGUUGGCUAGUUUGCUAGGAGCUUGAAACAGAACUAGGUUGGCCAGGAGCUAGAAACAGAACUAGGUUGGCUACUUGUCCAGGAGCUAAAAACAGAACUAGGUUGGCUAGUUGGCCAGGAGAUAGAAACAGAACUAGGUUGGCUAGGAGCUAGAAACAGAACUAGGUUGGCUAGGGGCUAGAAACAUAACUAGGUUGGCUAGGGGCUAGAAACAUAACUUGGUUGGCUAGGGGCUAGAAACAGAACUAGGUUGGCUAGUUG
rnacentral:lncRNA from 1 species